rnacentral:rRNA from 1 species
ACAAUACUGUCCGCCAGAGAACUACAAGUGAAAACUAGAAACUCUAAGGACUUGGCGGUGCUCCAUAUCGACCUAGAGGAGCCUGUCCUAUAAUCGAUAACCCACGUUUUACCUCACCGCUUCUUGCAAUUCAGCCUAUAUACCGCCGUCGCCAGCCUACCUUAUGAAAGAAACAAAGUAGGCAUAACAGUUAUCAACUAAAACGUCAGGUCAAGGUGUAGCAUAUGAGACGGAAGAGAUGGGCUACAAUCUCUACAAUAGAGCACACGGAUGACACAAUGAAAUUAGUGCCUGAAGGCGGAUUUAGCAGUAAGCUUAACAAGAAACUUCACCUGAAACUCGCUCUGGAGCGCGCACACACCGCCCG